UGGGGAAUAUUGCACAAUGGGCGCAAGCCUGAUGCAGCCAUGCCGCGUGUGUGAAGAAGGCCUUCGGGUUGUAAAGCACUUUCAGCGGGGAGGAAGGCGGUGAGGUUAAUAACCUCACCGAUUGACGUUACCCGCAGAAGAAGCACCGGCUAACUCCGUGCCAGCAGCCGCGGUAAUACGGAGGGCGCAAGCGUUAAUCGGAAUUACUGGGCGUAAAGCGCACGCAGGCGGUCUGUCAAGUCGGAUGUGAAAUCCCCGGGCUCAACCUGGGAACUGCAUUCGAAACUGGCAGGCUAGAGUCUUGUAGAGGGGGGUAGAAUUCCAGGUGUAGCGGUGAAAUGCGUAGAGAUCUGGAGGAAUACCGGUGGCGAAGGCGGCCCCCUGGACAAAGACUGACGCUCAGGUGCGAAAGCGUGGGGAGCAAACAGG
rnacentral:rRNA from 1 species